rnacentral:piRNA from 1 species
UUCAUUUACCUUCUAUUUUCUCCUCUGUAG